UAUUUUUAUUUUCAUUCUGGAAAUGACGAUGAUAAUAGAAGAAGAAUCUGAAAUAUUUGGAAGUUCAGGGAAACUUCCGUGGAAACUCCUCGAGUAAAAACUGCAUUAAAAGCCGCUGGUAGUGCUUGAGUGUUUCAGUCACUGCACUGGAGCAAGUUAGGGCAUAUCCUUGAGAAAGCACCUUAAGAAAACACUUUUAAGAGUUUACAGAAGACCUUUGGACUUUCUAUUCUACCUUUUGUACGAUUUAUUGUGGGGGAAUUUACGUACAGGUGCAAUAAAAUCUCGUUUAAAAGCUGCAUGUGCUAACGGCAGACUAACAUUGACUGAGAGACAAACGAGGCGAAAUCAAGAGGACGAUAUCAAUAUGUUUUGUGAAUCUACUCUGUGGAGCAUGGGAUUUGAUGAGGAUCUUCAGACGACCAGGGAUCCUAUAUGCCUGGUAGAAAUCUCAUCGGGCAGAUCUGUGUCCAUUGAGGAUAUGAAUGGAGAAGGGUGGAUAUCUGAAUACCAAACGCCAUCCAAACAGGAUCACAAGAUCAUCAGUAAACCACAAAUGACAGCCAGGAGCCGAAUCUUCCUCUCUACAAAGUUCUGGACCUUCCUUCAGUUCAAGACAUCCACAAGAGCAUGAAGGGACAAGUGACCAUCUGCUGUGUCAAAAAGACUUUUAAAAAGGACAUACACAGUUGAACGUAUUAACUUAUGUUAAUAUAUCAUAAACUAUGCCUUUUUAUAAUUUUAAGUAGUAAAAACAUAUGAAUUAUAUUUAUUAAGGAGAAAUUACAUGCUUGUUUCUCGAGGUGCAUUAUUCUAUACUGUAUGUAAAGAAGCUUUAAAGGCAAUGGCUCUUGCUUUAAAUUUCCACCAGAGGACAACAAUGAGUCACUGCCACUGUAUGUGUUGACAAGGUUUUGUUUGAUCAAGCAGCUAUUUGUAGCAUUUUACUGUAGGGUUGAGUUUGUCAGAUCUGGCUGACUGUAAUUUUUCUGAAAAAAUAUAUAAAACGAAAAUUCAAUAUUAAGAGUACGUCAGUCAAAGCUAAAGUUCAGCUAAAGUUUCAUCGUUCCUCCCAUUUCAAAAUGAAUCAAAAUACAUAUGAUCAUGCAUAUGAAUUUUCUUAAAUGUCACUUUUUAGGUGAAAAUAAUAAACCUUUGAGCCAAGGUUAAAGUGG